UAAGGACGAAUCGGCAACAAGAGUCCUAGAAGAAAAGAAUACACAGGAAAGGGAAUUGGAGGAGAAGAAGAACUCCCGCUUGCGCAGGAUACCUUACGUGAGAGGGAAACCAAUUCCCUCCCCUUACACGUCUCUUUUCUUUGUUUUCGUUUUCUUUUUAGAUUCAACUUGCUUCCAUGAAGAAUUCUACAAGGUUUGGUAUUUAGAUUUCAAAGAAAAGAAGAAUUCAACAAGAAGAGAAGGACUCAAGUCCCAACAGGAAUCGGCCAAGAAAGAUCUCUCCUAGCCGAAUUCCUCUUCACAUCAAUUCCAAAACCACAAAAUUCAAGCAUCUCCAACAAAAAUUCUGCAACAAAACCCAAUUAAUUAAUAAAGAUCCAAGCCGAGAAGAAUUAAACCACUCAAGUUCGAUUGGGAUUCAUCCUGCCAUCCAAGAGAGAAGACUUUACGUUUUAAUUAAAGUUUGCUUAGUUUAUUAUUAUUUUAAUAUAAUCGUAGGUAGAGUUGUGUUAAGUGCUUAACUAGGAUUUUAAUUACCAUUUUCUAGCAGGAUUCAUAAAGUGAAUGCUUAUAUAAAGGUCACCACCCUUCAGUUGUACGCACUCAAAUUCAGAUCAAUAAAAAUAUUCAGAUUAGCUUUUUUGUUAUUUGUAAGUGUUUAUCGAGAAGCUCUUCAACCGUCUUAUUGAGGUAAGAAUUUGAUCUACUUAUUGAGGUAAACUCAUGGCAAUUUUUUAAUUCUAAUUUCUUAAUUUUCAGUUACUUUAGUUCGUCUUCACAUAGUUGAUUACGGGUUAAGUAGGACGAAUUUAUUUAGAAAUUUAAGUUUCUGCAUGCUGAUAUUAUAUAUAUGGAGUUUUAAAUUGUAUUGUUGAUCCCGGGUUCUACAUCACUAUCUUUAGAUGGUUUGGGGUUAUGGUCCUCGGUGGAGAUGAAUAUGGCUUUAUAGGAUAAGUAGUUGUUGAAGUUCAUGA
rnacentral:lncRNA from 1 species